rnacentral:rRNA from 1 species
GCUGGCGGCGUGCUUAACACAUGCAAGUCGAACGAUGAAGCCCUGCUUGCAGGGUGGAUUAGUGGCGAACGGGUGAGUAACACGUGAGUAACCUGCCCCCGACUCUGGGAUAAGCCCGGGAAACUGGGUCUAAUACCGGAUAUGACUUCCUACUGCAUGGUGGGUUGUUGAAAGAUUUAUCGGUGGGGGAUGGACUCGCGGCCUAUCAGCUUGUUGGUGAGGUAAUGGCUCACCAAGGCGACGACGGGUAGCCGGCCUGAGAGGGUGACCGGCCACACUGGGACUGAGACACGGCCCANACUCCUACGGGAGGCAGCAGUGGGGAAUAUUGCACAAUGGGCGGAAGCCUGAUGCAGCGACGCCGCGUGAGGGAUGACGGCCUUCGGGUUGUAAACCUCUUUCAGUAGGGAAGAAGCGAAAGUGACGGUACCUGCAGAAGAAGCGCCGGCUAACUACGUGCCAGCAGCCGCGGUAAUACGUAGGGCGCA